UACGGGGGGGGGCAAGCGUUGUUCGGAAUUACUGGGCGUAAAGGGCUCGUAGGCGGCCAACUAAGUCGGACGUGAAAUCCCCAGGCUCAACCUGGGAACUGCGUCUGAUACUGGAUGGCUUGAAUCCGGGAGAGGGAUGCAGAAUUCCAGGUGUAGCGGUGAAAUGCGUAGAUAUCUGGAGGAAUACCAGUGGCGAAGGCGACUCUUUGGCCUGUAACUGACACUGAGGCGCGAAAGCGUGGGGAGCAAACAGG
rnacentral:rRNA from 1 species